rnacentral:rRNA from 1 species
CGGCCGCGUCGACCUGCCAUCGUAAGAUGCGAGGAAGGUGGGGAUGACGUCAAAUCAGCACGGCCCUUACGUCCGGGGCUACACACGUGUUACAAUGGGGAGUACAGAGGGCAGCUACCGGGCGACCGGAUGCGAAUCCCGAAAGCUCCUCUCAGUUCGGACUGGAGUCUGCAACCCGACUCCACGAAGCUGGAUUCGCUAGUAAUCGCGCAUCAGCCACGGCGCGGUGAAUACGUUCCCGGGCCUUGUACACACCGCCGUCGACGCGGCCG